ACCUCCACCUGGGCUCUAUCUAUGGGUGCAGCCACAAUCAAGACCAGCAGCUGGUCCCAGGGUGCAUUUUCUCCCCCAGGACCAUGUGGAGGGGAUGUGUGCCCUUGGCUACUUAUGCUGAUCCUGUGGUCAGGUUACCCCACCAAAAAACAGCUGAGGCAGCAAGGGCAGGUUGCUGCGGGGCUUGCAGCUUCAGCUUUUGUGGAGUGGUCCCCUGACCAUCACAGCCAACCACCCCAAGAACUGUUCCACGUCUGAGCUGCAAAGUGGGUCACAGAGAAACUUCAAAAAUCUGGAAACGAUUCUGAAUUGUGCCUGUAUUUGCCUGACCUGAUUUUUUUCCUUGUAUGUAAAAACGUUUAAUUAAAUGUAUUUCGAGGCCCUGA